GAAAUGCGAUAAGUAAUGUGAAUUGCAGAAUUCCGCGAAUCAUCGAAUCUUUGAACGCACAUUGCGCUCCCUGGUAUUCCGGAGAGCAUGCCUGUCUGAGAACCGACACAUCCUCACAGCCAGUCUGUGGAUAUGAGUUACCGUUGUGUCAACAGCGUAACUUGAAAUUCAUUGAUCGGUCGGGCUUCUGCAGCUCCGUCCUGAAAGCGUAUUAAUGAAGGGAAACCUCAUUGCGCUGACAAUGGACUUUGAUGUGGUGGACUCUGAUGACGAUCUCCUACCAAAGCAAGGGACUGUGAUGGUCUCCUGAACCUUGGUCUCAGAUCAGGCAAGACUACCCGCUGAACUUAA
rnacentral:misc_RNA from 1 species